CAGUAGCCGCGGUAAUACAGAGGAUGCAAGCGUUAUCCGGAAUGAUUGGGUGUAAAGCGUCUGUAGGUGGCUUUUCAAGUCCGCCAUCAAAUCCCUGGGCUCAACCCUGGACAGGCAGUGGAAACUACCAAGCUGGAGUACGGUAGGGGCAGAGGGAAUUUCCGGUGGAGAGGUGAAAUGCGUUGAGAUUGGAAAGAACACCAACGGUGAAAGCGCUCUGCUGGGCCGACACUGACACUGAGAGACGAAAUCUAGGGGAGCAAAUGGGAUUAGAUACCCCAGUAGUCCCUGUCUCUUAUAA
rnacentral:rRNA from 1 species